rnacentral:rRNA from 1 species
GACGGGGGGGCAAGUGUUCUUCGGAAUUACUGGGCGUAAAGCGCACGUAGGCGGCUUUCUAAGUCGGGGGUGAAAUCCUGGAGCUCAACUCCAGAACUGCCUUCGAUACUGGAAAGCUCGAGUCCGGGAGAGGUGAGUGGAACUGCGAGUGUAGAGGUGAAAUUCGUAGAUAUUCGCAAGAACACCAGUGGCGAAGGCGGCUCACUGGCCCGGUACUGACGCUGAGGUGCGAAAGCGUGGGGAGCAAACAGGG